rnacentral:tRNA from 1 species
UGGAUUUCCCGGCUUAGUAUGAGGGAUAAAUAUACCUAUCGAAUCUUAAUAAUGAACGAAAGAAAGUGAAAGA